rnacentral:rRNA from 1 species
UACGGAGGGAGCUAGCGUUGUUCGGAAUUACUGCGCGUAAAGCGCACGUAGGCGGCUAUUCAAGUCAGAGGUGAAAGCCCGGGGCUCAACCCCGGAACUGCCUUUGAAACUAGGCAGCUAGAAUCUUGGAGAGGUCAGUGGAAUUCCGAGUGUAGAGGUGAAAUUCGUAGAUAUUCGGAAGAACACCAGUGGCGAAGGCGACUGACUGGACAAGUAUUGACGCUGAGGUGCGAAAGCGUGGGGAGCAAACAGG